rnacentral:rRNA from 1 species
GACGAACGCUGGCGGCGUGCUUAACACAUGCAAGUCGAACGCUGAAGCUCAGCUUUUGUUGGGUGGAUGAGUGGCGAACGGGUGAGUAACACGUGAGUAACCUGCCUCCUUCUUUGGGAUAACGCCCGGAAACGGGUGCUAAUACUGGAUAUUCACUGGUCUUCGCAUGGGGGUUGGUGGAAAGGGUUUUUCUGGUGGGGGAUGGGCUCGCGGCCUAUCAGCUUGUUGGUGGGGUGAUGGCCUACCAAGGCUUUGACGGGUAGCCGGCCUGAGAGGGUGACCGGGAACAUGGGCACGGAGCAAGGGCCCAGAGUACGACGGAGGGGGGAAGAGGGGAAAAUGGCAGAAAGGGUGAAAGCGUGAUGCAGCGAGGGCGAGGGAGGCAUGGGGGCCGUGGGGUUGUGAUCUUGUUUCGCAAAAGGUCAAGCCGAAAAAAUGGUUGUGGUGAGGGUAGCGGAUAAAGAAGCGCCGGCUAACUACGUG